rnacentral:rRNA from 1 species
AACAAACGCUGGCGGCGUGCCUAAUACAUGCAAGUCGAACGGGGAAAGCUUUCGGGUGUGUACUAGUGGCGCGUGGGUGAGGUACGCGUGGAGUAUCUGCCGUAGAGUGGGGGAUAACUUGUCGUAAGAUUAGUUAAUAUCGUAUAAGAUCACGAGAGCUGCGGCUUUUGAGGUCAAAGGUUUUUUGAUCGAAGAUGAGUCCGCGUAAGGUUAGCUAGUUGGUGGGGUAACGGCACACCAAGGCGACGAGCUUUAACUGGUCUGAGUGGAUGAUCCGACACUCUGGAUCAGAGACGCGCCCCAACCUCCUACGAGGGACAGCAGGAGGGAAUAGUGCACUGUGCAGGAACCUCUGAUGCCACGACACCGCGUGCGUGAUGGAGGCCCUCGUGUCGUAAAGCUCUCUCGCAGGCGAAUAACAGAAUGAAGGUACCGGGUAAGGAAGGAUCGGCUAACUACGUG